UCCCAGCCAAACAUUCAACUACCAGCCAGGGCAUUGCACUGCGGUUGAAAACACAGAGCUGACUGAGUGCAACCAUCUGGUUUUUGUUUGAACAAAAUCGGCCCAGGGGUUCAAGAGUUCCAGUCAAUAAAGGAGUUCCAAACCCCAGAAGAAUCAGAAAGUCGAUUUACAAAAUUGUGAAGUCAGCCAGAAAUCAGUGACGUAACCUUGCAUAACUCAAGGUUCUGGAUCCUGGGCCGCUUGGGAGUUAUAUAACAUGACAUAACAAUGGACCAUUUUCAAAAAUUUGUAUCCAUAAAAGAAUUGUGUUGAUUUCCUUCAUUUUUGAAACAUUUGUAUAAACCAGCCAACUCUUUCACCCUAUCAAUCUUGGGACUAUCUGCCAGUGAUGUCAAAUUAAUUGAUUAUUUUUAAAAUAUAACUUAAGACUUAACGAGAACAUGGCACACUCCCUCCCAAUAUACCAAAUAUGCACUUUUGUAAAAUGUUAUGAAUGCUUAAGUGUUUAAGAAGUAAAAGAAGGGUUAGCUAAUGAAAUAAACUAAUUCAAAGUACACUUAAUGUGAAAAUUUUGAAAUUAAUUAGCAUAUUAAUUAAGGUGUUAAUUAGCGUAAUGAAGAAAUAUUGACAAUUUUUCAUCUUGCUUCAUACAAAUUGCCCACAUUUGUGUAGAACUAGAAGGGAUUGAAAUACAACUUUAUGGAAGCCUUAGUAAAACUAAGUAAUUUUUGUCAAUGAAUUAGCAUAUUAAUUAGUUCUUAAUUAAGAAAUAAUCAAACAAAAUCA